rnacentral:rRNA from 1 species
UGGGGAAUUUUGCACAAUGGGGGAAACCCUGAUGCAGCGACGCCGCGUGAUUUAGAAGGCCUUCGGGUUGUAAAAAUUCUUUUUAUGGGAUGAAAAUGACAGUACCAUAAGAAUAAGGUCCGGCUAAAUACGUGCCAGCAGCCGCGGUAAUACGUAUGGACCGAGCGUUGUCCGGAAUCAUUGGGCGUAAAGGGUACGUAGGCGGCCCAGUAAGUUAGAAGUGAAAUAAUAUAGCUCAACUAUAUAAAGCAUUUAAAACUGCAAGGCUUGAGAGUUGGAAGGGAAAGUGGAAUUCCUGGUGUAGCGGUGAAAUGUGCAGAUAUUAGGAAGAAUACCGGUGGCGAAGGCGACUUUCUGGUCAUCAUCUGACGCUGAGGUACGAAAGCGUGGGUAGCGAACAGG